rnacentral:rRNA from 1 species
CCUACGGGAGGCUGCAGUGAGGAAUAUUGGUCAAUGGGCGCGAGCCUGAACCAGCCAAGUCGCGUGAGGGAUGACGGACCUACGGGUUGUAAACCUCUUUUGCCGGGGAGCAACGGGCGCCACGUGUGGCGCCACUGAGAGUACCCGGAGAAAAAGCAUCGGCUAACUCCGUGACAGCAGCCGCGGUAAUACGGAGGAUGCGAGCGUUAUCCGGAGUUAUUGGGUUUAAAGGGUGCGUAGGCGGAUCGGUAAGUCAGUGGUCAAAUUGAGGGGCUCAACCCCUUCCCGCCAUUGAAACUGGCGCUCUUGAGUGGAAGAGAAGUAUGCGGAAUGCGUGGUGUAGCGGUGAAAUGCAUAGAUAUCACGCAGAACCCCGAUUGCGAAGGCAGCAUGCCGGCUUCCGACUGACGCUGAAGCACGAAAGCGUGGGGAUCGAACAGGAUUAGAUACCCGUGUAGUC